CGCAACCACAGCUGCUCCAGCGCUGGGGCGAAAGGCAGCCGCAUCCUGCCAUUCCUGCUGGAAACAGAAGGCACACGUCUAUCCAAACAGUCUCCCUCUGCGGAUGCAUCAAAACCACAGAUUAUGAAGCCAUCUGAAACCAGGUCAGCACUGACAACCAAAGCAGGAUCUGAAAAAACCACCCAGUCAGCCAAGGUAAGUACUUAACUUUCACUUUUGCAGAGUUGUUGUACUUUGGUCUUUUACUAACUUAGAGGC
rnacentral:lncRNA from 1 species